UACGGAGGAUGCGAGCGUUAUCCGGAUUUAUUGGGUUUAAAGGGUGCGUAGGCGGUCUGUUAAGUCAGCGGUAAAAUUGCGGGGCUCAACCCCGUCGAGCCGUUGAAACUGGGGGCCUUGAGUGGGCGAGAAGAAGGCGGAAUGCGUGGUGUAGCGGUGAAAUGCAUAGAUAUCACGCAGAACCCCGAUUGCGAAGGCAGCCUUCCGGCGCCCUACUGACGCUGAGGCACGAAAGUGCGGGGAUCGAACAGG
rnacentral:rRNA from 1 species